UCUUGUCCAGAACAAACAUCGUGAUAAACAAGGAGGCAGCAGAAGCGUGAGUGGGGAUGGGAACUGACCGCAGAGGAAUCUGGAUGAGGUGUCCAUUUCACCUCCAGUCCUGUCCUAGCAUUUGAGCAGCUCAGAGGUCAGGAAUGCUGUUGUCAUCAGGGCUAGAGCUGUGUCCUGAAUAAAUACCAAGUUAGGAGGAAGAUGACUCAGAGCUGCCUAAACCUCAUACUCCUCCGAUAUUUUAAGCAACAGAAAGUGGUGCUGGUGAGGACCUAAGGCAGGCAAUGUGUAAGGAUGCCACUUCCUCUUGGGAAAUUCUUCCAGCAAGGAGGUCACAGCUAGAUGUCGGUAUCAUGAUAUUGAACUUUCCAGCCUCCAGAACUAUGAGCCAGGAGAUUUCUGCUCAUCAUAAAUUGCUCAGUCUGUGGUAUUAUCUUUAAGAAGAACAAAAUGGACAAUUUUCAAGAUCAUUUAAAUGCUUCUACAAUGUCAAAACUAUUUUUGUAAUAAUGCUAGCAUGCUAUUGAUCCUUUUCAUUCAUUUUCUUACCAAAUGGAAUUUUCCAAUUAUUUGACAAGAUGUUUAAUAUCACAACAGAAAGAAAACAGAACAGUUAAGGUAUUUGAGGAAGUAUAAAACUAUCCCAUUU